rnacentral:rRNA from 1 species
GAUGAACGCUGGCGGCGUGCCUAAUACAUGCAAGUCGAGCGAACGGACGAGAAGCUUGCUCCUCUGAUGUUAGCGGCGGACGGGUGAGUAACACGUGGAUAACCUACCUAUAAGACUGGGAUAACUUCGGGAAACCGGAGCUAAUACCGGAUGAUAUUUUGAACCGCAUGGUUCAAUAGUGAAAGACGGUCUUGCUGUCACUUAUAGAUGGAUCCGCGCUGCAUUAGCUAGUUGGUAAGGUAACGGCUUACCAAGGCAACGAUGCAUAGCCGACCUGAGAGGGUGAUCGGCCACACUGGAACUGAGACACGGUCCAGACUCCUACGGGAGGCAGCAGUAGGGAAUCUUCCGCAAUGGGCGAAAGCCUGACGGAGCAACGCCGCGUGAGUGAUGAAGGUCUUCGGAUCGUAAAACUCUGUUAUUAGGGAAGAACAAAUGUGUAAGUAACUGUGCACAUCUUGACGGUACCUAAUCAGAAAGCCACGGCUAACUACGUG